rnacentral:rRNA from 1 species
GACGAACGCUGGCGGCGUGCUUAACACAUGCAAGUCGAACGGAAAGGCCCGGCUUUUGUGGGGCGCUCGAGUGGGGAACGGGUGAGUAACACGUGAGUAACCUGCCCUUGACUUUGGGAUAACUUCCGGAAACUGGGGCUAAUACCGGAUAGGAGCUCCUGCUGCAUGGUGGGGGUUGGAAAGUUUCGGUGGUUGGGGGUGGAGGCGCGGGUUGUCAGCUUGUUGGUGGGGUAGUGGGUUACCAAGGCUUUGAGGGGUAGCGGGCCUGGGAGGGUGACCGGCCACAUUGGGACGGAGAUACGACCCAGACUCCAACGCGAGGCAGCGGUGGAGAGUGUUGCACAGUGGGCUGAAGCCUAAUGCAGCAACGCCGCGUGCGGGAUGACGGCCUGCGGGUUGUAAACCGCUUUCGCCUGUGACGAGGCGUGAAUGACGGUAAUGGGUAAAGAAGCACCGGCUAACUACGUG